rnacentral:lncRNA from 1 species
AGUGCCCUAAAGACCAACUGGAUAGAAGGAGAGCGGAGCAGAGGCUUGGAAGCUUGGAUCCCUCCUCCUGCACUCCCUCCCGGCCCCGACUCCGGAACAAAACAAGCAAACAAUAAAGCAAACUUGUUGCUCUUUUGUCUCAAAGUUUUGUGUGAGUUCCCAUCUCGUAAUCAGUGGGGUUGAGGGUGACGGGGAGCAGAAGUAACUAAUAUCAUUGUGUUUUCUUAGUUACAUUUUGGACAAAUUUUUACGGAUACUGGAGAUGAGAAGUGGACUCUGCUCUGUCCUGAAAACCUGGAAUCAUAACAUUUCAUGGCUAGGACUAGAGUGUCCUUGGCGCUGUGUUUCUGGAUCUAGGAUGUUGGGAAGGAACAAAGAAAUUCAGGCAUCUCUCCUGAGAAGAGAAAGGGAGUAGAAUGCUCCAUCAUGAUGCUAACCACAAGAAUUGACUUGACGGGACAGAAUCAAGGGGAAGAACGUCAGUGAAACUUCUGGUGACAAUCACCCACUUAGGAGAACAUUAUUUGAACUAAAAAGAACAAAGCAAGAAUGGUCUGAAAUCACAAGGGGUUCAGAAGAAUGAAACAGAUGAUCUGGAUACUUUUAGAAGGAGUAAUAAUUAUUAAUCCCAACAAAUGACAUUCUUCAGUGUCUAAGCAUUUUCUUUUGUGAUUAAAGAGCUGCCGUGAACAAACCUGGAGGAGAACGUGAUGGGUACCAGAGACCAGAAAUUUACACAUGGCUAUGUUUUCAAAGGACAGGUCAAGAUGGUGAGAGGAGUGGGGCUAAGGAAGAUGUUAUCAUAUAUAAAUUCCAGAAAUUGUACUGAGGUGACGUUGGUAUCCAUCUGCAGCAUAAUUCUAUGCUUAAAUAUUGAACCAAUUAUUUUUGAGCUCUUAGUAAGGCAAGGUGGUGGAGCCAGGAUGGGUUCAAUAAGAAGUUCUCAUGCUAAACUAACCUCUUUUUUGAUAAAAUUUCCAGACUUUAAAGUCAAGAAGACAAAACAAUUCUAGAUUUGAGUAGGGCAUAUGAAGAAAAUAUGUGGCUUAAUAACUUGCUUUUUAAAGUUAACAUUUUGAAAUGGGAUCUAAAAAAAAAUGUCGAUCUUACAGAAUUAGAGAGUAGAGCAGUGGUUACUGACACCGGGGAGAAAAUGAGAGAUUGGGGAGGAUGGGAGAGGUUGGCCAACAGGUACAAAGUUACAAGAAGAUAGAAAGAAGUUCUGGUGUCCUUUUGCAUAAUAGGGUGAAGAUAGUUAACAGUAAGGGAUUGUAUAUUAUAAAAUACCUUGAAGAGAGGUUUUGGAAUGUUCUUAUUACAAAGAAAUGAAAAAUGCACAAGGUGAUGAAUACGCCAGCUACCCUAAUUUGAUUAUUAUACAACAUAUACAUGUAUCAAAACAUCAAAUUGUAUCCCAUAAAUAUGUACAAUACAAUGUGUCAAUUAAAAAAUAGAAAACAAUAUAAUUAUGUGGUCUACAAAGAGAACAUAAUGGACUAAAUGUUGAUUGGGAUUCACAGAAUAUUGCCAAAAUAUUCGUGACUUUGCUAACCAUAUGAAACAAAAUGUUCACAUUUAAAUAUAUAAGUUGAUCUUAGUUGUAUUUAUGUAAUAAUUAUUAUGAUCCAUAAUAAACCAUACAUAUUUUGCUAAUUUUAUUAUUUCUGUCCAUGACAAGUGAAGUUAUUAAUAAGAUAUUAUAAAAUUUGGCACAUAAAUUAAAAUGUAUUCGUUAUCCUAUUAACAGUAUUAUUUUAAAUGACAAAACUGUAUUCCAUAUGUAUUCCAAUACACCAAAAUUUUGUAAGUUAAUUUACCAAUAUCCGUUUUUUGGACAUUUAGAUUAUUUGCAUUUCUUACACUUUUUUGAAGUAUUCUAGUUAUGUCCUUAGGUUAAAUUCCUAAAAGUAAAAUUUCUGAGCUAUGAGGAUAUGCCAAAUUACCUUCCAAAAAUGUGGUAUUCGCCGGGUGCAGCGGCUCAUGCUUGUAAUCUCAGUGCUUUGGAAGGCUGAGGUGAGAGGAUGGCCUUGAGGCUUGGAGUUAGAGACCAGGCAUGGGCAAUGUAAUGAGACUCUGUCUCUACAAAAAAAAAUUUUUAAAUUAACUGGACAUGUUGCUGUGCACCUCUAGUUCCAGCUACUUGGGAAGCUGAGACAGGAUAUCUGCUUGAGCCCAGGAGUUCGUGGCUGCAGAGAGCUGUGAUCACACCACCGCACUCCAGCCAGGGCAACAGAGUGAGACCCUGACUCCAAAAGCAAAAACAAAAGAGCAAAAACGAGAUUCCAAUGUAUACUCCCACCAAUUAAUUUGAAGGUGACCAUAUCCCUCCUAUCAAAUACUGUCACUCAUUUACAUCUUUGCCAAAUGUGGGUGGAGCGAGCUGGGACUUGCAGGUGACCAAGAAGGGGGAUCCCGGAACCGGAAUUGUCUCCCUUGGCGUUCCGGAAGUAGAAGCAGAGUCAUUGCUGGGUGGCGCCAGCCCUCAGACUUGCCUCUUUGCAGUAGGAAGAAGGCCUCCCCACAUACCUUCCCACACUCAUCACCUUAAGCCAGACUCGGUGUCCAGUGAAUAUGACCAUCUCUUGCCCAUUUUCUAAUGAGUGUUUUCAUUAAUGAGUUAUAAGAAUGUGGUGGGUAAAUCUAUGGGCUUUGAACUAGUGAAUCAACUUGGUUUCAGAAUCUGGCACUGCUACUUACUAGUGAAUUUAAGCAAGUUAUUUCACCUUUCAGAGUGUCAGUUCCCUCAUGCAUACAAGGAAGAUAAAAAAUAAUGUAUACAAAAGUAUUGGAGUAAUUAAUACAUGGAGAACUACAUGUAAAGCGUUUAGCAUGAUGUCUGACAUAUUAAGCAUCCAAUAUUAGUUGCUUGCAGAAUUAUUAGUAAAAGAGAUUGCUUCUGAAAGCCAUUCCAAUUCUUAAAUUUUAUAAUGCCACAUUUGAGGUCACCUGAAGUACGUGUAUAACAUGUGUACAUUUUUGCGAUUUAUUUUUUCAAUUCCCAGAUUAGAGGCAUAGAGAUAUCCUAGCAAGGACUCCAAGUGUGUAGAUCUGUCAAAGAUAUGAACAUGAAAGAACAGCUUAUUUCAAUAAACCCACUUUACAUACCUUGUGUGCUUGUUUUUAACAAUAAAAAUUGGAAAGAUAAUUAAGGAACUGAAAAACCAGAGGGUAAAUUCUACAGUUUCCUUAAUUUAAAGAGUAAUUGUUUUUAAUUCUGAUUCACCUAAGAAGAAGGCAUUUAACUUGUAGGGCUUUCUGUAUUUACAUGUAUUAUAUAUUAAAUCCUCACAAUUGUUUGCAGUCAUUAUUAUUAUUAUUAUUAUUAUGCCCAUAUAAUAUGUUAAUGUGGAAACUGAGGCUCACAAAGCUUAAUUAAAUUGCCCAAGUUCCUAAAAUUAAUA